GACGAACGCUGGCGGCGUGCCUAAUACAUGCAAGUUGAGCGCUGAAGGUUGGUACUUGUGCCAACGGGAUGAGCAGCGAACGGGUGAGUAACACGUGGGGAAUCUGCCUUUGAGCGGGGGACAACAUUUGGAAACGAGUGCUAAUACCGCAUAAAAACUUUAAACACAAGUUUUAAGUUUGAAAGAUGCAAUUGCAUCACUCAAAGAUGAUCCCGCGAUGUAUUAGCUAGUUGGUGAGGUAAAGGCUCACCAAGGCGAGGAUACAUAGCGGACCUGAGAGGGUGGUCGGCCACACUGGGACUGAGACACGGCCCAAACUCCUACGGGAGGCAGCAGUAGGGAAUCUUCGGCAAUGGCCGAAAGUCUGAACGAGUAACGCCGCGUGAGAGAAGAAAGGUGUCGGAUCGUAAAACUCGGUUGGUAGAGAAGAACGUUGGUGAGAGUGGAAAGCUCAUCAAGUGACGGUAACUACCCAGAAAGGGACGGCUAACUACGUG
rnacentral:rRNA from 1 species